AACUCACUAUAUCCAUGAUGGUUAGCAAAAAAAAAUUAAAAUUUUAUGGCACUGAGUGGUGUGAUUUUUUCCUUGUGACUACACUACCCUUAAGUUCCCCCGUGACACCUCUUCUGUUCUGCAGUUUCACUUAGUCCUACUUUUUCUUUGUCAUUUCUAUUUUCCAUCUUCUCAGCCUUCUGUCUCUUCACAAUAACCUCUGUCAAUGAGAUUUAGGGUCUGACAUGCUUUCAGCCCAGUAAUAUGUGCUUCCUUUCCUGCAACAAUUCAAACUCUGUCUUUUCAAGAUUUUAUUUUACCUUCGGCUUUCCUCAAUGGAAAGAAUCUCUUUUGUGAACCAUCAGAACAUUUCCUACGCACAUGUGUAAAUAAGACUAUGCUCUACCUUUAAAAUCAUUUAUUGUACUUUUAGAUAUCAUGUCAGCUUGUCCAUGAACAAUGGGUGUAUAUGAAACAAGGACUUUUCUAAUGUUCAGAUUCAUCAAAGAGUGUUGUUGAAAUAUGCACUGUUCUCAGAAAUGACUCUUCUUUUUAACUCUUUUACUUCUAGUAAUGUAGUUUCAGUCCUUUUAUUGCCAAAUUUUACAGGACACUUAGCUUCCAUUUAAUAUAGUGGUUCCACUGAAAAUCUGAGCACUGAUAAGCAUGAGCUUUCUUUUGUUAUACUUCUUGCUUUCUUAUCCUGAUUCAGUUUUGUAUUGCCAUCUACUUAGUGUUUUUUUUGUUUGGGCCACUUCUAUGAUGUGAUACAUACCUGCAAGGUAUUUUUUUCCCCUCCAAUAUUACAAUUUAAUCUCUCUAUUAUGCAGACUGGUACCGUUAUAUUCUUUUUCUAAAUCUAAUUCAAUGAAUACCUAAUGUUCUUUCUUUCUUGGUCAUAUGUUUCUUAUAUCUUUUUACAGAUUUCUGAUGUCCAAUAUAGUCUUAAGUUAAAGAUUUGUCAAAGCUCCCAAAACAGUGCAUUUGUCUCAACACUCUUAAAUAUGUACUAAAUUAACCCACUUCUUGGAUUGUGAUGCUUGUUAAAUUUCAGUAACAGAGUGUGUUGUGUAGCUUGCUCUUUAUAAUUUAUCUCUUGAUCAUUAAAUUAAUCCCGUACCUUGCAAUAUUAAAAUGAGAAAAUGUGCCUUUUCCAUUUCUCUUUUCAGGACUUCCCCUUGGCUUCACAAAGAUACAAUUAUCUUCCUUGAACCUUUUCAGUCAUCUGCUGUACUCCUGCAGAGUUUCAGCCUCUUUAGAUUUUAAAUUCACGUUCCACAAUGUCCAAUUAUUCCUCUUCUAUUCCACUGUUUCUUAAGUCACUCUUCUUUUUCAACCUUCACUCCUGAUGCUACGCUGUAAUUAUAGACAGUGACUGGAGAGAACUCUGUCUCAGAGAUUAUACUCUGAAGAAUUUCUAAUGUAAUAAUUCCAUUUAAUGGAUCUGGGUCAAAUAUCAAGUGUCCCAAAACUACAAAAGAUUCUUCCAGGACGUAGACCUGAUUUAAUAACCAGAGUUAACUUCUAUAGUUUCCCCACAAUCUUUUAAAAUUAGCUAUAUUGCUUACUAACAAAAUCCAAUGAAUGUCUAAUUUGAUUACAGUAAAUUGGUAGGAGCUGUUAACAUGGAUUCACUGUUUUCUUUUAAUGUGAUAUCUGCAGGUGGUAGUACAGCUGCCUCCCUUCAAUCCUGUUCUGUUCAAACCUACCAGGAAAAGCCAUCCAGCUCCAUGGAGAAUUUAUUUCAAUCCCUUCCUCGUCUGAGGAUUUUCAGAUUUUUCUUCUGAUGCUGAGGAGGAUGCUGACAAGAUCAGCUCCAUCAUGUUGACCUUAGUAUCAUGAUAAGUGAUCAGCCUGGAGUUUAGAUAAGACUUCAAAAUCAUACUCCACUUUCUACGUGGACAUACAUUUUACAUGCUGGUGAUGCAGGACCAGCACGAUAUUCAUAGUAGUAUUAGCAGAUGAAGAUAUGAACCUAAAGAAAAAAUUGUGGGCAUUUUUGCAGCCCCAUAUGGUAAGAAGCUGUAGCUUAAAUUUAUCAGGUACCUUAACUCCAGCUGGACUGGUUGUGCACAUAUUUGUUGUUCACUGGAAUGAAUUUAUUUUGAAGACAAUAGGACUUCAGAUCACCAACCAGGACUACCUGGUUGGGUGGUAGGAUUGUUUAACUAUGUACUUAAAAAUGGCCUAUUUAUUCUUUCUUAAAUUACAUGCAGGGAAUAUGUGUCUAUAUACUUUUAAAGGAAGACUUAUGUAGGUUAAACAAUUGUCAUCUCUUUAAAUUCAAAAUUUUCAAACAAAAAUAAUUCACAUGUAGCCAGAUUGAUGGUACUAAAACUACCAAAACAUUAUUCCAUAACUUAAUCUAACAAAAUGCUGAUAUUAUGUUAAAAUUAAGAGAUAACUAAACAUUUCUAUAUAUGUACUUGUUUUAUUUUUUAUCUACGGAUGUUUAUACAGAUCUAGAGGGAAAUUAUAUGCAAUUAGAUAAUUUAUUCUAUAAGUAUAUGAAAGAUUUAUACAGUUAGGGAUCUAUCAUAGUCAUAGCAUAGAAACUGCCAAAUAACAUUUAU
ensembl:lncRNA